GACGAACGCUGGCGGCGUGCCUAAUACAUGCAAGUCGAGCGAGCUGAAUUCAAAGAUUCCUUCGGGAUGAUUUGUUGGACGCUAGCGGCGGAUGGGUGAGUAACACGUGGGCAAUCUGCCCUAAAGACUGGGAUACCACUUGGAAACAGGUGCUAAUACCGGAUAACAACAUGAAUCGCAUGAUUCAAGUUUGAAAGGCGGCGUAAGCUGUCACUUUAGGAUGAGCCCGCGGCGCAUUAGCUAGUUGGUGGGGUAAAGGCCUACCAAGGCAAUGAUGCGUAGCCGAGUUGAGAGACUGAUCGGCCACAUUGGGACUGAGACACGGCCCAAACUCCUACGGGAGGCAGCAGUAGGGAAUCUUCCACAAUGGACGCAAGUCUGAUGGAGCAACGCCGCGUGAGUGAAGAAGGUUUUCGGAUCGUAAAGCUCUGUUGUUGGUGAAGAAGGAUAGAGGCAGUAACUGGUCUUUAUUUGACGGUAAUCAACCA
rnacentral:rRNA from 1 species